rnacentral:rRNA from 1 species
AGCGGAGGAAAAGAAAAUAACAAUGAUUCCCUCAGUAACGGCGAGCGAAGAGGGAUAAGCUCAANUUUUAAAUCUGUUGGGUUCCACUUAACAGAGUUGUAUUUUGAAGAAACGUUUUCUGCAUCCAGGAUUAGCCUAAAUCCUUUGGGAUAAGGUAUCAUGGAGGGUGAGAAUCCCGUUCAUGGUUAAUCUUAAGGAAGCUCUACGAUACGUUUUCCAAGAGUCGAGUUGUUUGGGAUUGCAGCUCAAAAUGGGAGGUAAAUUUCUCCUAAGGCUAAAUAUUGGCGAGAGACCGAUAGCGAACAAGUACCGUGAGGGAAAGAUGAAAAGAACUUUGAAAAGAGAGUUAAACAGUACGUGAAAUUGUUGAAAGGGAAACGAUUGAAGUCAGUCAUACCAACGGGAAAUCAACCUUUUGAGCUUGGUCUCGUGGGUUUUGAAGAGUUUCAAAGCCUUCGGAUUCGCGGGAUUGGGAUCUCUUGGUGUACUUUCUCGUACGGUUAGUCAACAUCGGUUUUGAAUGUCAUAAAAUGACUGGAGGAAUGUAGCUUCGAUCUCGUAUUGAAGUGUUAUAGCCUUUGGUAGAUGUGAUGUUUGAGACCGAGGAUUGCAACGGAUACCCUUCAGGGCUAUUCGUCUGAUCUCUGAUACGUUGCCUUGAUGUUGAAAGCUUGCUUAUGAUGUUAGGGUAUUACGGUCAAAAGGUUAGAACGAAUUACAUUCGUUAAGGAUGUUGACGUAAUGACUUUAAACGACCCGUCUUGA